rnacentral:rRNA from 1 species
UACGAAGGGGGCUAGCGUUGUUCGGAUUUACUGGGCGUAAAGCGCACGUAGGCGGAUCGUUAAGUCGGGGGUGAAAUCCUGGAGCUCAACUCCAGAACUGCCUUCGAUACUGGCGAUCUUGAGUCCGGAAGAGGUAAGUGGAAUUCCGAGUGUAGAGGUGAAAUUCGUAGAUAUUCGGAAGAACACCAGUGGCGAAGGCGACUUACUGGACACAUAUUGACGCUGAGGUGCGAAAGCGUGGGGAGCAAACAGG